AGCAGCCGCGGUAAUUCCAGCUCCAAUAGCGUAUAUUAAAGUUGUUGCAGUUAAAAAGCUCGUAGUUGAAUUUCGGGGUCAGCAGGUUGGUCGUGCCAAUGGUAUGCACUGGCCUCGCUGAUUCCUCCUUCUUGAAGAACCGUGAUGCCAUUAAUUUGGUGUUGCGGGGAAACAGGACUGUUACUUUGAAAAAAUUAGAGUGUUUAAAGCAGGCUAACGCUUGAAUACAUUAGCAUGGAAUAAUAAAAUAGGACGUUUGAUCCUAUUUUGUUGGUUUCUAGGGUUGACGUAAUGAUUAAUAGGGAUAGUUGGG
rnacentral:rRNA from 1 species